UGCUUCGUGAGGUGCUCACUGGAGCCACAGC
rnacentral:sRNA from 1 species